rnacentral:rRNA from 1 species
UACGAAGGGGCUAGCGUUGCUCGGAAUCACUGGGCGUAAAGCGCACGUAGGCGGAUUGCUAAGUCAGGGGUGAAAUCCUGGAGCUCAACUCCAGAACUGCCUUUGAUACUGGCGAUCUCGAGUCCGGGAGAGGUGAGUGGAACUGCGAGUGUAGAGGUGAAAUUCGUAGAUAUUCGGCAAGAACACCAGUGGCGAAGGCGGCUCACUGGCCCGGUACUGGACGCGUG